AAAAUAACUUCAGAACUAUUUGCAUAUAACCACUGCAAAAGAGUUGUUUUGUUUUUCUUUGUUUACUUAGCUGCUUACAGUAUACACAUUUCCACUUUAUUCCCUGAUGUUACUGGUUCUUCUCCCUACCACACCCUGCCUGUCUGCCAAAGUUUUAGAUGUUUACAGUGUUCUUCCCAUCUGCAUGCUAGACAGUUUCUACCUUAAACACCAUUGAUCUCGUCCCUGAACUCCAAACUCCAUAUGUCCACCUGCCAUCUUAACCUUUCAAUUUGGAAGUCUAAUAGGCUUCUCAAACUUAACAUGUCUAGAAAAAAACUGUUGACGUCCCUCCACUAAUCCCCCCCACCAAAAUUUUAAAAUUAAAACCGCAGUACUGUCUUAUCCUUCCCUGUUUCUAUUAAUGGCAUCAUCAUCUGCCCAAUUAGUAAAACUGCAAACCUGUUGUCAUUAAAAACUUCUUGUUAUUAAGAUUCUUUAUUCUUCCUUUUGCUUCAUCAUUCUCUACUAUUAACUCCAUCUGCUUCUUUCCCUCUUUUUCCUCCAGCUACCUGACUCUAGGCAGCCAUCAUCUCCCUCUUGAUAUACUGAGAAAGUCUCUUACCAGGACUUCCUGUUUUCACUUUUGUCUUUUUAAAAUCCAUUUUCUACAGCAUAAUUUUUAAAAAGUAUGUCAGAUCCCAUCUCUGUUCCCGUUGUCUCUGGAAUAAAAUUCAAACUCCUUGCCAUGGAGACUUACAAGAGCUUGUCUACUCUCCAGCCUUAUUUCUUAGUACUUUCCCCUUUUUUUGGUUAUGUCUCAGCCAGAUUGCCCUCCUUUCAAUUUCAGCACUGUAGCUUGUUACUACGUGUGGCCAUUCAAAACAGUAGAUAUUUAUUACAAACUUACUUUUAGGGACGAGACACUACUGCCUCCAGAGAAGGAAAGAAAUUUUGUUAGAAUAUUAUAAAAGGGUGGCAUGUAAAGGUAGCUAGACUGCCUUAUCUCCAUUUCUUCUCAGUGUCAGAAAACUCUCAAACUAAAAUGGAAAUAAGUUGCUGAUUCACUUUAAAACCCAAACUUACUUAAAAUAAACUGUCAGUUCUAAGCUGAGAUUUAC
rnacentral:lncRNA from 1 species